GACGAACGCUGGCGGCGUGCCUAAUACAUGCAAGUAGAACGCUGAAGAGAGGAGCUUGCUCUUCUUGGAUGAGUUGCGAACGGGUGAGUAACGCGUAGGUAACCUGCCUUGUAGCGGGGGAUAACUAUUGGAAACGAUAGCUAAUACCGCAUAACAAUGGAUGACACAUGUCAUUUAUUUGAAAGGGGCAAUUGCUCCACUACAAGAUGGACCUGCGUUGUAUUAGCUAGUAGGUGAGGUAACGGCUCACCUAGGCGACGAUACAUAGCCGACCUGAGAGGGUGAUCGGCCACACUGGGACUGAGACACGGCCCAGACUCCUACGGGAGGCAGCAGUAGGGAAUCUUCGGCAAUGGGGGCAACCCUGACCGAGCAACGCCGCGUGAGUGAAGAAGGUUUUCGGAUCGUAAAGCUCUGUUGUAAGUCAAGAACGAGUGUGAGAGUGGAAAGUUCACACUGUGACGGUAGCUUACCAGAAAGGGACGGCUAACUACGUGCCAGCAGCCGCGGUAAUACGUAGGUCCCGAGCGUUGUCCGGAUUUAUUGGGCGUAAAGCGAGCGCAGGCGGUUUGAUAAGUCUGAAGUUAAAGGCUGUGGCUCAACCAUAGUUCGCUUUGGAAACUGUCAAACUUGAGUGCGGAAGGGGAGAGUGGAAUUCCAUGUGUAGCGGUGAAAUGCGUAGAUAUAUGGAGGAACACCGGUGGCGAAAGCGGCUCUCUGGUCUGUAACUGACGCUGAGGCUCGAAAGCGUGGGGAGCGAACAGGAUUAGAUACCCUGGUAGUCCACGCCGUAAACGAUGAGUGCUAGGUGUUGGAUCCUUUCCGGGAUUCAGUGCCGCAGCUAACGCAUUAAGCACUCCGCCUGGGGAGUACGACCGCAAGGUUGAAACUCAAAGGAAUUGACGGGGGCCCGCACAAGCGGUGGAGCAUGUGGUUUAAUUCGAAGCAACGCGAAGAACCUUACCAGGUCUUGACAUCCCGAUGCUAUUUCUAGAGAUAGAAAGUUACUUCGGUACAUCGGUGACAGGUGGUGCAUGGUUGUCGUCAGCUCGUGUCGUGAGAUGUUGGGUUAAGUCCCGCAACGAGCGCAACCCCUAUUGUUAGUUGCCAUCAUUCAGUUGGGCACUCUAGCGAGACUGCCGGUAAUAAACCGGAGGAAGGUGGGGAUGACGUCAAAUCAUCAUGCCCCUUAUGACCUGGGCUACACACGUGCUACAAUGGUUGGUACAACGAGUUGCGAGUCGGUGACGGCAAGCUAAUCUCUUAAAGCCAAUCUCAGUUCGGAUUGUAGGCUGCAACUCGCCUACAUGAAGUCGGAAUCGCUAGUAAUCGCGGAUCAGCACGCCGCGGUGAAUACGUUCCCGGGCCU
rnacentral:rRNA from 1 species